GAAUUGGUGUGGAUAACAUGCAUUAUCUUAAUGAUGGGCUCUGGAAGAUGGAGCGUCUGGAUUGAGCUUUAAAUGGUAUCUUUACUAGAUGGACAAUGUUUACCUGCUGCAAAUAGCAAAGACUUGCUCAUUUUUAUGCAGCUGUUAUUUCGUUUCUCCAGAUGUUAAUGAGCAAGCUGAACCAAAGUUUCUUAAUUUAAUGAAGGGGAGCCAAGUUUUAGGGGAUUUAUACAAUUUAUGAUUAUUGUUUUGGAACUACAAAUUUUCUUAAUCCGCUCGAUCAAAGGAACAUGAGUGGUG
rnacentral:misc_RNA from 1 species